rnacentral:lncRNA from 1 species
CCCCCAGAGUGAGUUGUGGUUACUGGCCAUCCAGCCCUGUGAUUACGUGCCACAGGAAAUAACUGGAGAGAUGAGCCAUCCACCUCCUGAGAUGUUCCCUCGGUGGGUACUCAGUCCGGGGACUGGCGUUCAACCUGGCAGGUGCAGACCCUGAUUGAUUUCAUUAGCAUAUCAAAUAGAUGAGUUUCUUAGUGACAGACUCGGGUUGAGUAAUUUCUAGAGAAAAAAAAAUACAGGAAGUUGACUCGGGCUGUCACUCUGGGAAGAGGAGACACCAGAGCACCUCUUCCCUGCACACUGGUUGACUCACGAAAUGAAUGAGAACCAGAGCGGAGGGUAAGAGUUGCCUGCCCUCCUGACACAGCCAGUGGAAUUGCGAUGAAGCUUUGGAUGCCUCUGUCUCCCGGUCAGGAAGGGAACUUUCUCUCCGCUGGAAUCGUGACAUUAGAAGACUUUGUCUGUCUGUACCCUUCUUGGAGUAAAGCCUAGCUGUUCCCUGCCAAGAACACCCUGAGCCUGAGGUUCUGACCCUGUUUCUCUGAGAAUGACCCACCCGUGUCUCCUGUUGCUUCCAACACUCUGCAGCGAAUGUCACUGUAGCUAGUCUUCAUGCCAGGUCGAUGGAGACAGGCUUGACGAUUCUUUGCCACAAACAAGUCUCUCCUAGCUUUGACUAGCCGUCGUUGGAUGCCAGGGAAUGGAAGCUACCGAACAAGCCUCAUGAGCAGAAAUUUCACAAGAAAACAGCCAAAUCGUUAAGCACAGAUUCUUCACAGUGGAUUGCUGAGGAUGGGCCAUGAGCAGACAAGUGGGCAGCAAGGAUGCAGAGGCGGCAGAAGAGACUGGGGACACACGACACGGAAGACACGGAAGACACGGAAGACACGGAAGACACAGACGACCUGGACAUCUCAUCCACAGGACACAGACCAAGACAUCUCAUCCACACGGCACAGACAACCCAGACAUCUCAUCCACACGACACAGACAACCCAGACAUCUCAUCCACACGACACAGACAACUCAGACAUCUCAUCCACACGACACAGACAACUCAGACAUCUCAUCCACACGACACAGACAACUCAGACAUCUCAUCCACACGACACAGACGACACAGACAUCUCAUCCACACGACACAGACAGACCGGGACAUCUCAUCCACACGACACAGACCGGGACAUCUCAUCCACACGGCACAGACAACCCAGACAUCUCAUCCACACGGCACAGACUCACAUCUCAUUUCUCCAGACCCUCCUCCUUCACGACUCCUCGAACCAGCACCAGUUUUGCAUGCCAUUGUUUCCUUAUCUCAGUCUUUUCACGCCCAACCCAGGGCAAAAGGCUUUCCAUUCAGAAAUAAAGAACUGACGGUAUCAGUCACCUGACCCAGCAGGUGGAAGCCAGCAUUGCGGUCUUCCUCUCUUUCCUCCCCUCUAGCCCAAGUCCAGGGCGGAUGCGCCUUUCUAGGUUAGAUCUACUCUCUCC